UGAGGCUUAAAUUAAAAUAUUGAUUGUUUGCCCUUUACCGACCGACCCUAUCAAUUCGUUGCGCCUGAAAAUCUUUUAUUUGUAUUUACCAGCAAGAUUUUAUUUUAUUUUAUUUUUUCGUUCCUACCAAAAAUCUUAUAUUUGUAUUUCCCGCUCAAAACUAUUUUAUCCGGACUUCUCGGGUUUUAUCUUUAACGUAUAAGGUCCAGUCUGUUUGGUAUCACCUGAGCGUUUGACAUGAACACUUGCAUUUGAAGUUUCAAAAGCGUUUGUUUGAAAUCGAUGUUCAGCAUGUGAACGUUCUGAAAUCAUGAUAUGACGUACGCUAUCUAUACCUUUAUACUUAAAGAGCAGGGUUCAUUUACAAAUAAAUUCGUUUGAUACAAAAUUAUCAAUGUGUGUGCAAAUUAAUUUGUAAACGGACGUUGUAUUCUAUGUAGGGAUGCCUUUUUGUGAUCCGCAGAUCAGGAUGAUUAUGUUAACGAUGCCGCUAUAUUAUUUAUAUCUGAUAUGAAUCAAAACCCUGUAAAGUGGAGAAUAUCUGGCAGUAAAAUCGCCAAGUUGUCCAUACAGAUCAUUUAUAAAUGCGAUGUAAAAUACGUGACAAUUGUCAGAGUUUUAAGUCUUGUAGCAUUUCAGUUUAUUGGAAACAAAGGCACACACUAUGUUUUUAACACUCUAGGGACUUUUCUACUAGUAAUGUAUGUCUGCCCGGACAUAUCUUAUCAGAACAAAAUUAUCUUUUACAGAAAAUCUUAAGGUAAGCAUACAAGGUAUGUAGUAC
rnacentral:lncRNA from 1 species